CUUAGGGGCACCCUCAGGCUCAAGGCAGGUGGCCCUACUGUCCCCAUUCCACACACCUGGACCCCAGGGGCUUGGGGUGGGCUUCAGGGCAUCCAGGGACCCAGUGUGGUGGGGUCUUCCAGGGAAGGGGACACAACUCUUGCAAUGUUGCCUGAGGGCCAGGACCCCCGCUCUGUGCCCCAGGGGUGCUGUGCCCAGCCUGCAUGUGUCAACCUACCAG
rnacentral:lncRNA from 1 species